GUAGUGCAAUGGAUAGCGCGUUUGACUUUUAAUCCAAAAGUCUUGGCUUCGAAUCCCACAUACG